rnacentral:rRNA from 1 species
UGCAGAAUCCCGUGAACCAUCGAGUCUUUGAACGCAAGUUGCGCCCGAAGCCAUUCGGCCGAGGGCACGUCUGCCUGGGCGUCACGC